UCCUUAGGCACCAGAGAAGGAUUGCAAAAUCGGCUAUGCAGGAUUAAUUGGUAAUUGGAUAAGCUUCCAGGUGGGGUGUUUAACCUUUGUGGCUCAACCUGAACAUGAAAAAGCGAAAACUACAAAAGAUGUGAGAACGAAGGAAGUUCUUUGCGCUCUAAUGUCAGUAUAGAGAAAUGGUGAAAUAAUAGUAUUACAAUAAUGUAAUCUGAGCAGUGACAUAAGAUAGCCGAAACGAGAAAAGCAAUAGCUAGCUGCAACCUAUAUCAAAGUACAUCAAAUU